rnacentral:rRNA from 1 species
UACGUAGGGUGCAAGCGUUGUCCGGAAUUAUUGGGCGUAAAGAGCUUGUAGGCGGUUUGUCGCGUCUGCUGUGAAAGCCCGGGGCUCAACCCCGGGUCUGCAGUGGGUACGGGCAGACUAGAGUGCAGUGGGGGAGACUGGAAUUCCUGGUGUAGCGGUGAAAUGCGCAGAUAUCAGGAGGAACACCGAUGGCGAAGGCAGGUCUCUGGGCUGUAACUGACGCUGAGAAGCGAAAGCAUGGGGAGCGAACAGG